rnacentral:rRNA from 1 species
GAUGAACGCUAGCGGCAGGCUUAAUACAUGCAAGUCGAACGAACAGCAAUGUUAGUGGCGCACGGGUGCGUAACGCGUAUGCAACUUGCCUUUAACUGGGGGAUAACGUUUCGAAAGAGGCGCUAAUACCGCAUAAUACAGUGAAGACACAUGUUUUUAUUGUUAAAGCUCCGGCGGUUAAAGAUGGGCAUGCGUAGGAUUAGCUAGUUGGUAAGGUAACGGCUUACCAAGGCGACGAUCCUUAGGGGUUCUGAGAGGACGACCAGCCACACUGGGACUGAGACACGGCCCAGACUCCUACGGGAGGCAGCAGUGGGGAAUUUUGGACAAUGGGCGCAAGCCUGAUCCAGCAAUGCCGCGUGCAGG